AGUGAACGCUGGCGGUAGGUCUAACACAUGCAAGUCGAACGGCAGCACAGGAGAGCUUGCUCUCUGGGUGGCGAGUGGCGGACGGGUGAGGAAUACAUCGGAAUCUACCUUUUCGUGGGGGAUAACGUAGGGAAACUUACGCUAAUACCGCAUACGACCUACGGGUGAAAGUGGGGGACCGCAAGGCCUCACGCGAUUAGAUGAGCCGAUGUCCGAUUAGCUAGUUGGCGGGGUAAUGGCCCACCAAGGCGACGAUCGGUAGCUGGUCUGAGAGGAUGAUCAGCCACACUGGAACUGAGACACGGUCCAGACUCCUACGGGAGGCAGCAGUGGGGAAUAUUGGACAAUGGGCGCAAGCCUGAUCCAGCCAUACCGCGUGGGUGAAGAAGGCCUUCGGGUUGUAAAGCCCUUUUGUUGGGAAAGAAAUCCUAUCGAUUAAUACUCGGUGGGGAUGACGGUACCCAAAGAAUAAGCACCGGUUAACUUCGUGCCAGCCGCCGCAGUAAGAC
rnacentral:rRNA from 1 species